rnacentral:rRNA from 1 species
CAGAGACUGCAAGCGUUAUUCGGAUUCACUGGGCGUAAAGGGUGCGCAGGCGGCCAAGUGUGUGAGGCGUGAAAGCCUGGAGCUUAACUCCAGAAUUGCACCUCAAACUACAUGGCUAGAGCAUUGGAGAGGGUAGCGGAAUUCACGGUGUAGCAGUGAAAUGCGUAGAUAUCGUGAGGAACACCAGAGGCGAAGGCGGCUACCUGGACAAUUGCUGACGCUCAGGCACGAAAGCGUGGGGAGCAAAAGGGAUUAGAUACCCCUGUAGUCCACGCCCUAAGCGGUGCACACUAGGUCUUGGCGGAUUCGACCCCACCAGGGCCCAAGCUAACGCGUUAAGUGUGCCGCCUGAGGACUACGGCCGCAAGGCUA